UGUUCUUCGUGAACAUGGCGUACUGCUCAGUAACACGUGGAUAACCUGCCCUUGGGUCCGGCAUAACCCCGGGAAACUGGGGAUAAUUCCGGAUAACGCACAUAUGCUGGAAUGCUUUAUGCGUCAAAUGGAUUCGUCUGCCCAAGGAUGGGUCUGCGGCCUAUCAGGUAGUAGUGGGUGUAAUGUACCUACUAGCCGACGACGGGUACGGGUUGUGAGAGCAAGAGCCCGGAGAUGGAUUCUGAGACAUGAAUCCAGGCCCUACGGGGCGCAGCAGGCGCGAAAACUUUACAAUGCGGGAAACCGUGAUAAGGGGACACCGAGUGCCAGCAUCAUAUGCUGGCUGUCCGGGUGUGUAAAAUACACCUGUUAGCAAGGGCCGGGCAAGACCGGUGCCAGCCGCCGCGGUAACACCGGCGGCCCGAGUGGUGAUCGUGAUUAUUGGGUCUAAAGGGUCCGUAGCCGGUUUGGUCAGUCCUCCGGGAAAUCUGACGGCUUAACCGUUAGGCUUUCGGAGGAUACUGCCAGGCUUGGAACCGGGAGAGGUAAGAGGUACUACAGGGGUAGGAGUGAAAUCUUGUAAUCCCUGUGGGACC
rnacentral:rRNA from 1 species